rnacentral:rRNA from 1 species
AAAACAUUUCUUUUCGAGAUUACAAAAAGUAAACCCUGCUCACUGAUUAUUAAAUAGCCGCAGAAUUUUUACUGUGCUAAGGUAGCAUAAUAAUUUGCCUUUUUAUUAAAGGCUAGAAUGAAGGGGAUUACAGAGAAAAUACUGUCUCAUAGAACUACCUUAAAACUUUCCAUAUAGUAAAAACGCUAUUAUACAUAAAAAGGACGACAAGACCCUAACAAACUUAACUAAAGUUAAACUGGGGCGGUAAAAAAACAAAAUCUUUUAAUAUAACUAGUUAAUUAAAAAUCCAAGUUACUGUAGGGAUAACAGCAUUAUUUUUUUCUAGAGUUCAUAUCAAAAAAAAAGAUUGUGACCUCGAUGUUGAAUUAAAGUUCCUCAUAAAUGCAAAAAUUUAUAAAGGAAGUCUGUUCGACUUUUAAAACUUUACAUGAUCU